UCAUUUCAGGUGAUCUCAUUUUUGCCCUUCCCACUUUCCUGCCCUUAGGCCACCGGCCAGUCAAGGGAGGGCUUUCUAAGGGUUUCUUGGCUCCUCCUGCCUGUGGGGACUUCGGAGGCUGGAGGAUGGAGAAGCAAUCGCUAUUGGGCCACCCAACUGACCGGGAGAGAACAGGAAGCUGAGGCAGGAGAGGGAACGACACCGGGCUGAAGGGCUAGUCGCCAGCGCCCUCUCGCCGUCCACUUCGGAGCUCUGGUCCAGGAUCAGCCUGAGCAGCGAGCGGCCCCACUGCUGUAGCUCCAGUCUGUUCCUGGCCAGACGCGCCUUUUUGGAGGAAGACUGCAGCCUAGCGAGGAGCGGCUAGCGGCGGCGGCAGCUUCCCGGCGGCGUGAUUGCGGUUCGAUCGCUGUUUGGUCAUCUGCAGGGUAAGGGAAUUGAAAAUUUGAAAAGAACUUCCAAAUCAUGUCAACAUAUACAUUGAUACUUGGUGAUUACAGUGUGAAGGAAACAAAAGCAAGAGCAUAAGGCAGAAUCUGAGCAACAGCAACAGCAGCAGCAUCUCCAGGAGAGCUGGACCAAGAGAAACAUCAAUCACAGCAAAGACAGAUAGUCCUGGUGUCUACUUUCAAGGACUCAGACCCUGGUUCCUGUCUAGGGGUCUGAAGACUAUCCCAGGAAGCUCUAGGGGUGAGCAGCAGACUUUAAGAAAGCAGACUUCCAGGAAAGAAGGCACACGAACAAGCUACCUACUACCAUUCCAAGUUUGUAGUGAAAGAAACUCAACCUGAAAAGUUCUGACUCCUGAACAGAAAUAGCAUCAAGACAAUGAUUUCAAGCAAGCAACAGAGAUUGGAGGAAAUAGAAAAACAGGAUGUGUACCUGCGGGAGAGAAAGAAGUACCGCUUCCACAUCAUUCCUGAUGGCAACUGCCUUUACAGAGCUGUCAGCAAAGCAAUCUAUGGGCACCAGAACCAGUACCAGGAGCUUCGGGAAAAGACUGUCAACUACAUGGCUAGGAACCUUGACCUCUUCAGACUUCUCAUUGAGGGUGAUGUGAAGGAAUUUCUCUUUAGAGCAGGACAGGAUAGCACAUGGGGGGGCUACCCAGAGAUGUUGGCCCUGGGACAUAUGCUCAAUGUCAACAUUCAUUUAACUCUAGGAGGCAGUUUGGGUAAUCCCACUAUAUCUACAACCAUUCACUCUUUGGGUCCAGAGGGCUCCCAUAGGAAAAGUAUUUGGCUCAGUUGGCUCAGUUAUGGGCACUAUGACACAGUUCUGGAUUACUCCCUUCCCAUAUUUGAGGAUGACAAUUUUUUGUGUGGGGGAGACAACAUUUUCUUUCUUUUUUUGUUUUUCAUUAUAUUUUUGUUCCUUUUUAUGUUCGGUUCCAAAUCUUCCUCCUCCCAGCCCCUUCCUCAACCAUUGAGAAGGCAAGAAAUAGGAUACCCAUUCUACAUAUAAAGUCACACUAAACAUAUUUCCUCGUUAGUCUAGAAUGGGAAAAAAGAAAAUGAAAGGAAGGAAAAAAUUUUGCUUCAAUUUGUACUAUGAGUCUAUCAGUUUUCUAUCUGGAGAUGAAUAGCAUUUUACAUCAUGAAUUCUUUGGAGUUGUGGUGGAUCACUGUAAUGAUCAGUUACUAAGUCUUUCACAGUUGAUUAUAUUUACAAUAUUGUUAUUACUAUGUAGAUUGUUCUGGUUUUACUCACUUCAUUUUAUAUCAGUUCAUAUAAUUCUUCCCAUGUUUUUAUGAGACUAUUCCCUUCAUCAUUUCUUAUAGCACAAUAGUAUUCCCAUUUAGAUACCACAGCUUUUUCAGCCACUCUCCAAUUGAAGGGUAUCCCCUCAGUUUCCAAUUUUGUGCCACCAAAAAGAGAGUUGUUGUAAAUAUUUUUGUACAUAUGGAUCCUUUUCCGUUUCUGUUGAUCUUAUGUAAUAGAUCUAGAAGGAGCUCAAAAGCUAUGUGCAGUUUUUUAGGGCAUAGUUCCAAAUAGUUCUUCAGAAUGGUUGGAUUUCAACCAUCCGUUACUAUCCCCAUUUUUCCAUAUCCCCUCCAGCAUUUCUCAGAGAAUAGCAAUUCUUGCAAAUAACAUGAAGCUAGAAGAAAAAAAGAAGAAAAGUUAUUUCAUUCUUGGAAUGCUAGACAUUGUGUUCAGUAAGGGACUGGCUUAAGGAGUCCUUACAAAAGAUUGUGUGUGUGUGUGUGUGUGUGUGUG